AUGAUUGAGUGUCUGAAUGACUGUGUGGGAAUUGCUGAAUCCGUCAAUGAAGUAAUACACGUGAAGGAGGCACAGAGACCCCGUCACGGACCAGUGAUGAGGCGCGUGACGGGAAGAGUCCUGAAGGAAGAAAGCAUCUCUGAAACUCUGAGGAUGAAGGCGUUAGAGAUGGUUGAACAUCUGCCACGGGCACGGGCUCGGUGGUUGCCUCUAUAUAGUAGAAUGGAGAUUAAUGGUGGAAGCCGAAGGCCAGGCCAGGCUGCGUGGGGCCGAGACCCCUCCUCUGGCGGUGGUGGCAGGAGAGAUCCCAAGGUGAGGCAUGGCCUCGGGCUGUCUUGGUUUGGGUCAUCGGGGCCAGUGUUUUCCAUGUCUUUAAAAUGUCCUAUGUAGAAUCCCCAGGUGACUAAUCGUCCCUUGAGAACUAAGGCAUGAACCUUUAUGCUGGUUAAUUGACAAUAGGGAUUUCACCAAAGGAAGAUACAAUCUCUUUUGGUACUACUUAGAUCAUCAGGGAUAUUCAAGUGUCUUGUACUCUGAUUUUCGUUAAUCAAGUACUUCUUGUUAUGAAGGAAACAUUAAAUUGAUCCCAAAACAUGAACAUGGGAAGUGACAUUGGCCUAAUGUACCCGUGAUGAUUAGAACAUGGGUCAGGUGCCAGUGGUGAGUCAUGAAUGACGCAUGAUAAGGGUCUGAAGCCCUGUGGCCCCACACAGUCCAUCCUCUUUGGCUCUGUUUAGGCCAUCCUGUGGACAGGUGUUAGGAACACAGAAAGUUCGGGUUCUUACAGCGUAUACGUUUUCAAAGUAUUCAUACAGCAAGGAGAACACCAUGAAAGUUAUAGGUAAUAGUUGAAGAGCAUAUGUUGUUGUCUAAUUAUGAGCAAAUAUGUUGAAGAAAGAAAUAUUAAUCAAAAUUGCCAACAGCAGCGCUCCUUAUGAGAUAAGUCAGUCAAACGGUCACCUUUGUGGCCAAUUAUCAGAGAGACUUGAAGAGUUGUAAGUGUUAGAAAUUUCCUGUAUUGUUGUGAGUCAGUUUCAAGUUUGAGGUAGUUCUUUCAGUCAAGAGACAAAACAGUCUCUAAAGCAUGGCUAUGCUUUACAUUGUUAAGUAACAGGGCAGAUGAAAUGUAGAGGCAAGACGCGACGGUGAUCCCUUUUCUUUUCUUUCUCUUUUUCAUCAUUGGCUGUGCUUUGUGCUGUCAAACGUGCUCACGCUGGAGCGGAUUGAGCGUGAUCCCACGGUGACGUCACACGUCUUCUUGGGUGUUGAGAAUGAUUGAGUGUCUGAAUGACUGUGUGGGAAUUGCUGAAUCCGUCAAUGAAGUAAUACACGUGAAGGAGGCACAGAGACCCCGUCACGGACCAGUGAUGAGGCGCGUGACGGGAAGAGUCCUGAAGGAAGAAAGCAUCUCUGAAACUCUGAGGUCUGUCCCAGCACCUAAGGAGUCUCCUCUCUUGGGGGAAAUUGUGUCUGUAGAGAGAUGCCAGGGGUAUACAAAGGUCAUGUGUUCUCGUAUUUAUUUCUUUGUCGUGGGUUUGUUAGGAAUGGCUGCGUGCCAGAAUCAUUAAGCAAAUAUUAGUAAGUGUAUACGGAAAAAAUAUGUUCGUGCAUUGUAGAAGUAGCAAUUGUCUUGGGAGUUAAUAGAUACUGUGCAUAAACAUUGAAAACCUUGAUUCUGUGAAAUAAAUUGGAACGGGUCACCUCUUUGUUCA
rnacentral:lncRNA from 1 species